GGCAUUGUGGCGGAGUGGUUAACGCGGUUGACUAGAAAUCAACUUCCUUCGGGAGCGCAUGUUCGAAUCAUGUCAAUGUCG
rnacentral:tRNA from 1 species